rnacentral:rRNA from 1 species
UACGGAGGAUGCAAGCGUUAUCCGGAAUUACUGGGCGUAAAGCGUGCGCAGGCGGUUUUGUAAGCCAGAUGUGAAAUCCCCGGGCUUAACCUGGGAAUGGCAUUUGGGACUGCAAGGCUCGAGUGCGGCAGAGGAGACUGGAAUCCCUGGUGUAGCAGUGAAAUGCGUAGAUAUCAGGAGGAACACCGAUGGCGAAGGCAGGUCUCUGGGCUGACACUGACGCUCAUGCACGAAAGCGUGGGGAGCAAACAGG